rnacentral:lncRNA from 1 species
UUGCUAUUCUCCUACUUUCUCAAUUCAAGAAAAUUAAAUUACAGAAUUCUAAUAUCAAAAUAAACAGGAUUAAAGAAUGUAUUAUAUGGAAUCUGAAACUAAUUUGUACCUACAGUAUAUACAGUUUAAUCGUUGAGUUACUCAUGCAGAGCCUUCUUUAUAUUUUUAAUACGACUUUAAUAUGGUACUGCAAAUUGCACUAAUGUUGUUUGGGAUUCGGUUGUCCUUAAAAACAAGAAAUUGUAGGACUGCCAAUCUUAGCUCGUGUUGUUUGGGAUAAUCAAAAUCCAUUAAGGGCUAAAAGGCAACAACAGCUUCUGCUAUUUUACCAACAUCGGUACGCAGCAAAAUGUGUUUUCCAACAAUGAGAUAUAUACUUUCCUGAUCAAUCAGGAUGACAG